GCCAAAACCCUAGGAGGACCUUGUGUUUUUUGUUUGGGUUCAAUUAGUAUAGUCAUCACUUUACCUUUAGGUAACCCCUGGGAGAGCCAUAGCAGCGAUUUUAAAGUAAGAAGUUAGCCUGCACUCUCAUUUGCUUGUAUUUACUAGUCUUGUGUAGUGAUUACUCACAAUGACUUGCUUUAAUGAGCAGGAUAGGCAUUUGAAAAUCUGUCUAACUGAAAAAAAUAGUUCUUUACGAAUCUCUUUUGAAGUGAAAAUUGGUAAGUAGAGAUUUAUACUAACACCUUGCCUUUGCAUCUUUGAUAAGUUGAAAAUUGAUACCGAAGUCAUUUGUGCGUACAUGCAAAACUUUGAAUUUGACUUUUGGAAAAGUUGGUUACAUCUCUGGUCAUGUGUUCCUGAAAUUGGCAGUUAUGGAGCUUCAGAUUUGUGGGUUUACUAUCUUCGUAAGUAAGAUUUAUAUUAACACCUUGCCUUUGCAUCUUUGAUAAGUUGAAAAUUGAUACCGAAGUC
rnacentral:lncRNA from 1 species